rnacentral:rRNA from 1 species
GACGAACGCUGGCGGCAUGCUUAACACAUGCAAGUCGAACGAUGAAGCCGGAGCUUGCUCCGGUGGAUUAGUGGCGAACGGGUGAGUAACACGUGAGCAAUCUGCCCUUGACUCUGGGAUAACUGCGGGAAACUGUAGCUAAUACCGGAUACGACACCUUGGGGCAUCCCAGGGUGUGGAAAGAAUUUCGGUCAAGGAUGAGCUCGCGGCCUAUCAGCUAGUUGGUGAGGUAAUGGCUCACCAAGGCGACGACGGGUAGCCGGCCUGAGAGGGUGACCGGCCACACUGGAACUGAGACACGGUCCAGACUCCUACGGGAGGCAGCAGUGGGGAAUAUUGCACAAUGGGCGAAAGCCUGAUGCAGCAACGCCGCGUGAGGGAUGAAGGCCUUCGGGUUGUAAACCUCUUUUAGCAGGGAAGAAGCGAAAGUGACGGUACCUGCAGAAAAAGCACCGGCUAACUUCGUGCCAGCAGCCGCAGUAA